ACACGAUAAUACUAAACUAUCCGCAAGGGUAGGACGGAAAACCUAAGGGUCUCUCAGAGAUAGCCGGGUCGCCGAA
rfam:Geobacteraceae bacterium GWC2_53_11 gwc2_scaffold_1875, whole genome shotgun sequence.